UACAGAGGUCCCAAGCGUUGUUCGGAUUCAUUGGGCGUAAAGGGUGCGUAGGCGGCGCGGUAUGUCGUGCGUGAAAUCUCCCGGCUUAACUGGGAGGGGCCGUGCGAAACUGCCGGGGCUUGAGGUCAGAAGGGGAAAGUGGAAUUCCGGGUGUAGUGGUGGAAUACGUAGAUAUCCGGAGGAACACCAGCGGCGAAGGCGGCUUUCUGGUCUGAUACUGACGCUGAGGCGCGAAAGCGUGGGGAGCGAUCCGG
rnacentral:rRNA from 1 species